ensembl:snRNA U6 U6 spliceosomal RNA
GUGCUCGCUUCAGCAGCACAUAUACUAAAACUGGAACAAUACAGAGAAGAUUAGCAUGG